AAUGGGCGGGAUUAGGGAAAAUACUUUUCGCACCAGUUCCUAUAAACCGGUGCGAAAUCAUCUUUUUCGCACCAGUUCAAACCGAUGCGAAUUACGAAAUAUUAAAAAAAAAGGUGGAAGGGAUUUCGCACCGUUUCAGAUCAAACCGGUGCUAAAUACUGUUCUCGCACCGGUUCAAACCGGUGCGAAAUUUAAAACCGGGUUGUUACCUCUCUCUAAUCCGCCUCUCUAUUUCAUUCUCUCCCUCUCUGGUUCUGCUUUCCUCUCUCAUCUCUGGUUCUGCCCUGCUCUCGCUCUCUCUCAUCUCUCGUUCUGCUCUCAUCUCUCAUUCUCUCUCAUCUUUCGUUCUGCUCUCAUCUCUCCUUCCUCUAUCGUUCCCAUCUCGUUCUGCUCUCAUCUAUCGUGUGAGGUUUUCGUUCGAAUCUUGUUCGAGUUAAAGCAAGUGGUGAACGGUUAGAGAGACAGUUAGACCGGCGAUAAUGUCACCUGCAACGCUUCCGACCAAGACACCGUCACCUUUAACGGCUUCCGGUACCGGCGCUUCAAAGGUUUUUUUUUUUUUUUUUUUUUCCUGUUAAAGCUUACAAAACCCUAAUAUAAAUCUCUCUUUCGCUCAAUUUUUUCCCCAAUUACAAGUAAGUUUCUUCUCUUUUUCGCUUAAUUCAUCUUUAUAUUCUUUUAUGCUGUAUUUUUUGUUGAUUGUGUUAUAGAUUUAGUUGAAAUUUGUGGUAUUACAUUGUGUUUUUGAUUUAUUAUUUUUAAUCUGCAUUUUUUUGCUCAAUUUUUUUCCCCAAUUUCAAAUAAUGUUUUUGCUAACCUUGGAUGUGUAGAAUCUGUAGAUUGUGUAUUGUGGGUUCUUUGAUUUUGGAACUUGACUCGUUAUUUUGGGUUCACUGUUUCUUUUUUUCUUUUUCUUUUUUUAUUCAAUAACUUUGCUAUGAAUCUGAGUUUGUUUUGAUAAAUAAUCAGUUUAAUUCAUUAUAAUUGGCCUAUGAACAAGUUGAGUUUCACUAUAUUCAUACUGAUUAAAAUUUGUAUGCAUUAGUCAAUUUUUUCAAGCAUUGGAUUUGAGUGUCAAUAUUUGUUAAAUGAAGCUGAUAAAGAGUUGUUGCUUAUAUAACUUUGUCUCUUUCAUAUGAAAUACUAGAGUGUAUCAUGGUUUGAAAGGAAAUAGAAUAUGAGGCUGGUAAAUAUUAUCAUAUCUCAAUAUUAUAAUUACAUGUUUAGAAAACAGAAUAUUGCAUGGGAAUGAGUAGGUGACAUGUGUACUUGCUCUGAAAUGUCAAUUGCAGGCUUUAGGUUUUGCUAAGUGUUCAAAAGGGGUUUGACAUCUGCAUUGUUUUAGCUGUUAAUGUUACUUUUGAUCCUUCCUGAACAGGGUUACCAUCAUUUGCAUACCAGACUAUUGUGUCGGGAAUCUUUGCAUACCAAAUGGCAAGCAAGAAGAGACUGCUGUUGUUGGGUAAUUGAUGAAAGCCGAAUGCAAAAUCACCCGAAGGUGAAAGCCACGGAGAGUCAUUGAUGGUGGCUGAGAGAGAUUCGUCAAUGGUUAUAGUGCUACUUCUUUGUGCAGCCAUGGGUACUAUUGGUAAGAAGAUCAGUGAUGUAAAGAAGGAAAAUAAAGUUGCAGGUAAGGAUUGUUUCUCUGUUAAAAGCACACUCUUUCAUCUCUUGGCUGGCUGUUCAAGGAAGGCUUAGAACAAGUGAUAGGCUUGUUUCUCUGGGAUGCUGUGAGGAUGCAAGCUGUCUGCUUUGUGGUGAGGCAAAUGAGACUCAUGAGCAUUUAUUUUUUUAUUGUUCUUAUAGUAGAUUUUGUAUUAAGGCUGUUGGUUCAUGGCUAGGCAUCAAUGAGAGGUAUUUUAGACUUGACAGAUCCUGGAAGCAUUGGAAGAGACAUAGUUCAGUGUUGAUUUAGAAAAGUACUGCCUUAGCUGCCUUGACUGCUUGUGUGUAUCAUAUUUUGUUUGCAAGAAAUCAUGCUUUCUGGGAAAGGGCUGUUAUUCAUCCUGUGAAGCUCUGUAAUGCUAUCUGUAUUGAAGUGAUAAGUAGGGUACAACAGCUUAUUGAUAAUUCGUGGAAGAGGGAUCAUUGCAAAUGGUUGUAUCAGCUGAAGAUCAAUGCUCCUGUGUAGCUGUUUUUGUUCUGUUGAUGUUAGCUGUGAGGCUGUGUCUGCUCAGCUGGUUGUCCUGUUCAGCUAUUAGAUGCUGGUUCUUUUAUCUUGA